AGAGUUUGAUCAUGGCUCAGAUUGAACGCUGGCGGCAUGCCUAACACAUGCAAGUCGAACGGUAGCAGGCCUUCGGGUGCUGACGAGUGGCGGACGGGUGAGUAAUGCGUAGGAAUCUGUCUUUUAGUGGGGGACAACCCAGGGAAACUUGGGCUAAUACCGCAUGAGCCCUGAGGGGGAAAGCGGGGGAUCUUCGGACCUCGCGCUAAGGGAAGAGCCUACGUCUGAUUAGCUAGUUGGUAGGGUAAAGGCCUACCAAGGCGACGAUCAGUAGCUGGUCUGAGAGGACGACCAGCCACACUGGGACUGAGACACGGCCCAGACUCCUACGGGAGGCAGCAGUGGGGAAUUUUUCGCAAUGGGGGCAACCCUGACGAAGCAAUGCCGCGUGGAUGAAGAAGGCCUUCGGGUUGUAAAGUCCUUUCGUGGGGGACGAAAAGGUGGUUCCUAAUACGAGCUGCUGUUGACGUGAACCCAAGAAGAAGCACCGGCUAACUCCGUGCCAGCAGCCGCGGUAAUACGGGGGGUGCAAGCGUUAAUCGGAAUCACUGGGCGUAAAGGGUGCGUAGGCGGUACGUUAGGUCUGUCGUGAAAUCCCCGGGGCUCAACCUGGGAAUGGCGGUAGAAACCGGCGCACUAGAGUAUGGGAGAGGGUGGUGGAAUUCCAGGUGUUGCGGUGAAAUGCGUAGAGAUCUGGAGGAACAUCAGUGGCGAAGGCGGCCACCUGGCCCAAUACUGACGCUGAGGCACGAAAGCGUGGGGAGCAAACAGGAUUAGAUACCCUGGUAGUCCACGCCCUAAACGAUGAAUACUAGAUGUUUGGUACCUAGCGUACUGAGUGUCGUAGCUAACGCGAUAAGUAUUCCGCCUGGG
rnacentral:rRNA from 1 species